CCUACGGGAGGCAGCAGUGGGGAAUCUUGGACAAUGGGGGCAACCCUGAUCCAGCCAUGCCGCGUGAGCGAAGAAGGCCCUAGGGUCGUAAAACUCUUUCGCCUGUGAUGAUAAUGACAGUAGCAGGUAAAGAAACCCCGGCUAACUCCGUGCCAGCAGCCGCGGUAAUACGGAGGGGGUUAGCGUUGUUCGGAAUUACUGGGCGUAAAGCGCACGUAGGCGGAUUAGAAAGUUAGAGGUGAAAUCCCGGGGCUCAACCCCGGAACUGCCUUUAAAACUACUAGUCUAGAGUUCGAGAGAGGUGAGUGGAAUUCCGAGUGUAGAGGUGAAAUUCGUAGAUAUUCGGAGGAACACCAGUGGCGAAGGCGGCUCACUGGCUCGAUACUGACGCUGAGGUGCGAAAGUGUGGGGAGCAAACAGGAUUAGAUACCCUGGUAGUCCACACCGUAAACGAUGAAUGCCAGUCGUCGAGUAGUAUACUAUUCGGUGACACACCUAACGGAUUAAGCAUUCCGCCUGGGGAGUACGGUCGCAAGAUUAAAACUCAAAGGAAUUGACGG
rnacentral:rRNA from 1 species